UAUGAGUGCCAGCCGCCGCGGUAAUACAGAGGGUGCAAGCGUUAAUCAGAAUGACUGGGCGUAAAGGGCGUGUAGGUGGUUGACUAGGUUUGAUGUGAAAUCCCCGGGGCUUAACCUGGGAAUGGCGUCGAAAACGGGUUGACUAGAGUGAGAGAGAGGGUUGUGGAAUUUCCGGUGUAGCGGUGAAAUGCGUAGAUAUCGGAAAGAACAUCAGUGGCGAAGGCGACAACCUGGCUCUUAACUGACACUGAGGCGCGAAGGCGUGGGGAGCAAACAGGAUUAGAUACCCUGGUAGUCCACGCGGUAAACGAUGAGAACUGGCUGUGAGGCGUGGGACUUCGGUUCUGCGCGACGUAGCGAAGCUAACGCGUUAAGUUCUCCGCCUGGGGAGUACGGCCGCAAGGUUA
rnacentral:rRNA from 1 species